CCUACGGGUGGCAGCAGUGAGGAAUAUUUGUCAAUGGGCGCAAGCCUGAACCAGCCAAGUAGCGUGAAGGAUGGCUGCCCUACGGGUUGUAAACUUCUGUUAUGAAGGAAUAAAGUGAGGCACGUGUGCCAUUUUGUAUGUACUUGAUGAAUAAGGAGCGGCUAACUCCGGGCCAGCAGCCGCGGUAAUACGGAGGAGCCGUGCGUUAGCCGGAUUUAUUGGGUUUAAAGGGAGCGUAGAGGGGUUGUUAAGUCAGUUGUGAAAGUUGGCGGCGCAACCGUGAAAUUGCAAUUGAUACUGGCAGCCUUGAGUACAGUUGGGGUAGGCGGAAUUCGUGGUGUAGCGGUGAAAUGCUUAGAUAUCACGAAGAACUCCGAUUGCGAAGGCAGGUGUCUGGACUGCAACUGACGUUGAGGCUCGAAGGUGUGGGUAUCAAACAGGAUUAGAUACCCGAGUAGUC
rnacentral:rRNA from 1 species